AGUGAACGCUGGCGGUAGGCCUAACACAUGCAAGUCGAACGGCAGCACAGUAAGAGCUUGCUCUUACGGGUGGCGAGUGGCGGACGGGUGAGGAAUACGUCGGAAUCUACUUUUUCGUGGGGGAUAACGUAGGGAAACUUACGCUAAUACCGCAUACGACCUACGGGUGGAAGCAGGGGAUCUUCGGACCUUGCGCGAUUGAAUGAGCCGAUGUCGGAUUAGCUAGUUGGCGGGGUAAAGGCCCACCAAGGCGACGAUCCGUAGCUGGUCUGAGAGGAUGGUCAGCCACACUGGAACUGAGACACGGUCCAGACUCCUACGGGAGGCAGCAGAGGGGAAUAUUGGACAAUGGGCGCAAGCCUGAUCCAGCCAUACCGCGUGGGUGAAGAAGGCCUUCGGGUUGUAAAGCCCUUUUGUUGGGAAAGAAAAGCAGCAGGUUAAUACCCCGCUGUUCUGACGGUACCCAAAGAAUAAGCACCGGCUAACUUCGUG
rnacentral:rRNA from 1 species